rfam:Hydrogenobaculum sp. Y04AAS1, complete genome.
AAAAGCCUGCCCUACUCGUUAGUGUGAAGAUAUUUUUGGGGCCUACAUGUGAGCUAUUAGGGAGCUCGGAAGUUCAGGGGCGUCUCACAGUAGACCCUCUGACAGGGCGCCCACCUAAAAAUAGGAGGCCCGCAUGUAUGUUUGCACGACGGUAGGGUGGGUAAUAA